CGGUCUGCCCGUUGAUUUGAAAUUGAAAGGCUGCGGUAUUUUAACUGUACGAAGGUAGCAUAAUCACUUGUCUUUUAAUUGAAGGCUAGUAUGAAUGGUUUGAUGAAAAAUUUUCUUUCUUUAUUUAAUUUAUUUGAAUUUAAUUUUUUAAUUAAAAAGUUAAAAUUUUUUUAUAGGACGAGAAGACCCUAUAGAAAUUUAUUUUUUAUAUAGAUUUUUCUUUUUAGUUUUUAAAAGUUUAAUUUAGAAUAAAAAAUUUUGUUGGGGUGACAAUAAAAUUUUUAUAACUUUUAUUAAUUUUUUCCAUUAAUUUAUGUGAUGAUCCAGUUUUAUUGAUUAUAAGAUUAAUUUACUUUAGGGAUAACAGCGUAAUUUUUUA
rnacentral:rRNA from 1 species